UGUAAACCCCUUUCGACCGGGACGAUAAUGACGGUACCGGUGGAAGAAGCACCGGCUAACUCCGUGCCAGCAGCCGCGGUAAUACUAAGGGGGCGAGCGUUGUUCGGAAUUAUUGGGCGUAAAGGGCGCGUAGGCGGUGUUGUAAGUCACGUGUGAAAGCUCUGGGCUUAACUCGGAGCCUGCACCCGAAACUGCACUGCUGGAGGGUGGGAGAGGUGCGUGGAAUUCCCGGUGUAGCAGUGAAAUGCGUAUAUAUCGGGAGGAACACCUGUGGCGAAAGCGGCGCACUGGACCAUUACUGACGCUGAGGCGCUGAAGCUAGGGGAGCAAACAGGAUUAAAUACCCUGGUAGUCCACGCCCUAAACUAUGAUUGCUUGGUGU
rnacentral:rRNA from 1 species